UUUCAAGUACAUUAUAAAUAUGCUUAAAUACGUUGAGUUAAUCUGGGUUGUAUUCCUCUCUGGUGGCUUUGUGAGCACAUUCCUGGGUGGUAUGGUUAGUCCUACAGCAUUGCCCCUCACCACCAAAUAAAAGUGUCAUGUAAAGAAUAUUUUAGAUAUUUUUCUUCAUGCCCCAUAAAGAGAACAGAUCCAAGUGGUAAUCCCUCAGUAAUGAUUGUUGUUGCUUCCCUAAACAGAAAGAGUGACGCGGCCUGCUACAGAACGUUCUUUGUGGAGAGCUGAAAAACGGCCAUGACACCACGUUGUCCUGAGGCUGUCUCAGAACCUUAGUGAACCUGAGUGACAAGUUCCUAAGAGGAGAGAUUACAGAAUUCUUUUGGUGCACUGAAAAAUCCUUACUCACUACCUUUUCUUUCCCCCCCUCCACUUGACGAAAUGCCCCUAAAAACUGUUGCCAUUACUACUAUUUUCUGUUUUUCUUUUUUCAGAUUUACCUACAACCCCUCUAAGAAAUCCCUGGUUACAUUGUCUGAGAUUUCGGAACAGAAUGGCUCAUGAAUGUGACUAGAAACCAGAUAAUGAAAUUUGUGUUUGGCUUAACUACCAGGGAAAAGGGCAUGGAAAAAUAAGCCACAUGUAGCCCUUCUAGUAUUUUCCUUUGAUCAAAUGUCAUGAUUAUGAAUACUAGAAAUCCUGGGUUAGUUGGAAAGUUGACUAAACAGCACAGAGUUACUAUGUUAUUCUGAAGUAAACAAACACAUCUCUGUUGUCUCUAGUUUCUUUUUACAGAUGUGCUGAAAAUGUUUUACGUUUUAACCAUAUGAAUUUCAUUACCAUCGAUGGCAUCUGAUGGACAGAUUAUGAACAUGAACUGGAAGAAAAUUAAUUCUUUAAUGUUGGGAAUGGCUGCAGGAUGUUUUGUUACCAGAGAACCUGUAUCUUGUGACUCACCCUCUGAAGUGACAAUGAAUGCUUAUGAAGAUGAUAAUGGAAGAAGAUGAGAGAAGAUUCUCUGGGGCUUUGCCUGGAGACAUCGCCCAUACCUUUAUUUGUUACCUCAAGAGAGUGACUUGAAUGACACAAGUCCGGAUGUUUCAGGUCAAAUCUAAAAGGGUUGAACCGUUUUCUUGAGAAAUCCACUUCAGGAUGACAGCUCACCGCCCACUGGCUGGCUCUAGACCCGGCACCAGGUAAAGCAGUCUGUCCCCAUCCCACCCAAGUUCUGAUCAUGCUACUCACAGGCAGAGGGUUGAAGAAAGUCCCUUAUUCCCAGACUAGUUCAAUUUUCUAUAAAACCCAUAUAAUAGUCUGACUCUAGAAAUAGGUAUGUUGAUACAGUGAUGGAUUCACUGAGAGUUGUUAUAUGUCU